rnacentral:rRNA from 3 species
GGCAGGGGGCGGGUGCCUAUAAUGCAGUUCGAACGCACAGCGAAAGGUGCUUGCACCUUUUCAAGUUGAGUUGGCGAACGGGUGAGUAACACGUGGACAACCUGCCUCAAGGCUGGGGAUAACAUUCUGGAAACAGAUGCUAAUACCGAAUAAAACUUAGUGUCGCAUGACAAAAAGUUAAAAGGCGCUUCGGCGUCACCUAGAGAUGGAUCCGCGGUGCAUUAGUUAGUUGGUGGGGUAAAGGCCUACCAAGACAAUGAUGCAUAGCCGAGUUGAGAGACUGAUCGGCCACAUUGGGACUGAGACACGGCCCAAACUCCUACGGGAGGCUGCAGUAGGGAAUCUUCCACAAUGGGCGAAAGCCUGAUGGAGCAACGCCGCGUGUGUGAUGAAGGCUUUCGGGUCGUAAAGCACUGUUGUAUGGGAAGAACAGCUAGAAUAGGAAAUGAUUUUAGUUUGACGGUACCAUACCAGAAAGGGACGGCUAAAUACGUGCCAGCAGCCGCGGUAAUACGUAUGUCCCGAGCGUUAUCCGGAUUUAUUGGGCGUAAAGCGAGCGCAGACGGUUUAUUAAGUCUGAUGUGAAAGCCCGGAGCUCAACUCCGGAAUGGCAUUGGAAACUGGUUAACUUGAGUGCAGUAGAGGUAAGUGGAACUCCUGGUGUAGCGGUGGAAUGCGUAGAAAUAUGGAAGAACACCAGUGGCGAAGGCGGCUUACUGGACUGCAACUGACGUUGAGGCUCGAAAGUGUGGGUAGCAAACAGGAUUAGAUACCCUGGUAGUCCACACCGUAAACGAUGAACACUAGGUGUUAGGAGGUUUCCGCCUCUUAGUGCCGAAGCUAACGCAUUAAGUGUUCCGCCUGGGGAGUACGACCGCAAGGUUGAAACUCAAAGGAAUUGACGGGGACCCGCACAAGCGGUGGAGCAUGUGGUUUAAUUCGAAGCAACGCGAAGAACCUUACCAGGUCUUGACAUCCUUUGAAGCUUUUAGAGAUAGAAGUGUUCUCUUCGGAGACAAAGUGACAGGUGGUGCAUGGUCGUCGUCAGCUCGUGUCGUGAAAUGUUGGGUUAAGUCCCGCAACGAGCGCAACCCUUAUUGUUAGUUGCCAGCAUUCAGAUGGGCACUCUAGCGAGACUGCCGGUGACAAACCGGAGGAAGGCGGGGACGACGUCAGAUCAUCAUGCCCCUUAUGACCUGGGGCUACACCCUUGCUACAAUGGGCUUAAACAACGAAUUGCCAACCCGCGAGGGUGAGCUAAUUCCUCUAAAUAACGUUCUCCAUUCCCGAAUUUGAAUCUGGCACUUCCGCUACUGGAAAUCCGAAUCCCUUUUUAAUCCCGGAUAACACCCCCCCCGGUGAGAAAAUUUUCCCCGGGUCUGUUAAAACCGCCCCCUCCCCCCCCCGGGGAAUUUUGUAUGGCCCAAAACCCGUGGGCUCACCUUUUUUAAGAAGACCCUCCUACGGGACAAAAAAUGGGUGGUAUUCCCAAGCCAGAGUUAAGGUAUCGCCUACGUUAGCCUUAAGG